rnacentral:rRNA from 1 species
CUGCUGCCUUCCGUAGGAGUCUGGUCCGUGUCUCAGUACCGGUGUGGGGGACCUUCCUCUCAGAACCCCUACGCAUCGUCGCCUUGGUGGGCCGUUACCCCGCCAACAAGCUAAUGCGACGCAUGACCAUCCGUAGCCGGAAUCGCUUCCUUUAAACCCACAGAGAUGCCUCCAUGGGUUGUUACGCGGUAUUAGACGGAAUUUCUUCCGCUUAUCCCCCUGCUACGGGCAGGUUUCAUACGUGUUACUCACCCGUGCGCCGGUCGCCGGCGGGAG